UGAGGAACAUGACCUUCGGCGGGGGAUAGCCGGCCCAACGGCCGGGUAAUACCGCGUACGACCACAUGGGGACAUCCCUGAGUGGUGAAAGCAGCAAUGCGCCGAUGGAGUGCCUCGCGGCCUAUCAGCUAGUUGGUGAGGUAACGGCUCACCAAGGCGACGACGGGUAGCUGGUCUGAGAGGAUGGCCAGCCACAGUUGGGACUGAGACACCGGCCCAGACCUGUACCGGGGAG
rnacentral:rRNA from 1 species